UGAGCUACAAUGCAGCUGUGGCGGUAAUUCGGAGCAAAAUUUAGGGUUGCAGGCGCCGCAAUCUAUUCAUCAUCUAUCUUCUCUGGAAUUUUGGUUUUUGGUUAAUUUGUCAUCUUUUCAAUUCGUUUCGCUUAGAAAAUACGAUGCAAUGAAGAGAAACAGGGAAAUAAUCAUCGAUUGUGGCUCGCUCCGCAACAUGAUACGUUUCGCCCUUAUGUAUUAGGAAUGCGAAGGUCCCAGCAGGGGGCGAUUACUCUUGUUGUUGAGGCCUCUCUAACAAUCAAAUUCGAUUUCCUUCGCAUAGCUAUUCGCCGAAUCGUAGGAUGCCCAAAUUUUCUUCAAUUUUGGUGCGUCUUGAACCUUCGGCUAUAUCUUAUAUUUUUCUUUAAAAUAAAUCGUGUGUUUUGCAUAAAAAUAAUUCACUCCAUUAUUUUUUUCA